rnacentral:rRNA from 1 species
ACGGGUGAGUAACGCGUGAGCAAUCUGCCCUUCGGAGGGGGACAACAGCUGGAAACGGCUGCUAAUACCGCAUGAUAUAUAUUGGUGGCAUCACCGAUAUAUCAAAGAUUUAUCGCCGAAGGAUGAGCUCGCGUCUGAUUAGCUAGUUGGUAGGGUAAUGGCCUACCAAGGCUGCGAUCAGUAGCCGGACUGAGAGGUUGAACGGCCACAUUGGGACUGAGAUACGGCCCAGACUCCUACGGGAGGCAGCAGUGGGGAAUAUUGGGCAAUGGGGGAAACCCUGACCCAGCAACGCCGCGUGAAGGAAGAAGGCUUUCGGGUUGUAAACUUCUUUGACCAGGGACGAAACAAAUGACGGUACCUGGAAAACAAGCCACGGCUAACUACGUGCCAGCAGCCGCGGUAAUACGUAGGUGGCAAGCGUUGUCCGGAUUUACUGGGUGUAAAGGGCGCGUAGGCGGGAUUGCAAGUCAGAUGUGAAAUGCAGGGGCUUAACCCUUGAACUGCAUUUGAAACUGUGAUUCUUGAGUAUCGGAGAGGCAGGCGGAAUUCCAAGU